UACGGGGGGGGCAAGCGUUGUUCGGAAUUACUGGGCGUAAAGGGCGUGUAGGCGGCCAACUAAGUCCGACGUGAAAUCCCUAGGCUUAACCUAGGAACUGCGUCGGAUACUGGAUGGCUUGAAUCCGGGAGAGGGAUGCGGAAUUCCAGGUGUAGCGGUGAAAUGCGUAGAGAUGUGGAGGAACACCGAUGGCGAAGGCAGCCCCCUGGGUCAAGAUUGACGCUCAUGCACGAAAGCGUGGGGAGCAAACAGG
rnacentral:rRNA from 1 species